GGGGUCGGGAUACUGGGCGUAAGGGCGUGUAGGCGGGGGGACAAGUCAGAUGUGAAAUACUGCAGCUUAACUGCGGGGCUGCAUCUGAAACUGUUCUUCUUGAGUGUCGGAGAGGAAAGUGGAAUUCCCAGUGUAGCGGUGAAAUGCGUAGAGAUUGGGAGGAACACCAGUGGCGAAGGCGGCUUUCUGGACGACAACUGACGCUGAGGCGCGAAAGCGUGGGGAGCAAACAGGAUUAGAUACCCUGGUAGUCCACGCUGUAAACGAUGGAUACUAGGUGUAGGAGGUAUCGACCCCUUCUGUGCCGGAGUUAACACAAUAAGUAUCCCGCCUGGGGAGUACGGCCGCAAGGUUGAAACUCAAAGAAAUUGACGGA
rnacentral:rRNA from 1 species